GAAUUAUACCUAGUUAAAUAAAGAAAACAUAAGAUGUGAGCAAUGUAUUGUUCAAUUUCCUGCCUUGGUUUGCAGCCGGCUAGAAUAGCAGGGGUAACGAGUAGCAAAAGAGUAGGAAGAGAGCCUUUUUAGAGUUUAAAAAGUAGUAGUUUCUGAACUGUUAUUUGUGUCAGAAGUUAGAAUAAAAUGGAGUUUAUAUAGUAAUUGAGAGAUAAAAAAAUAAGGUAAGAGAUCAAUAAAGUAGCAAUUACGAAAAUACACUGAAUCAACCACACAUGCAAAUCAAUAAGUCUUCCUUUAAUAAAGGGAUAAUCAUUCGACGGUAAAAGCAGCACAAGUAAUUUAUGGAAAGAAAUCAAGUAAUGUAAUUGGGGGUGAAUGAACAAGGGUCUAACUAAGGAAAUAGUAAGCAGAAAUCAACAAAUAACAAAUAAGGCAAGUGGGAACUUAAUUAAGGCAAGAAUUUCAAUCAACCGAGUGGGGUAGUAAAAAUCAAGGACUUUGUUAGGGAAAUGGCUCAAUUCAGACUGAAAAUAAGAACUUCAAAACAAUCAAGGGUUUAACUAAGGAGAACAUCACGUAAAGAGUUAGAAAAUAAUGCAAACAACUUAAAUAAAUCAUUGAGGGAAUAAUCUGGGCUCAACACAUAGUUUUUAAAUGAAGAAAAUUAGUAAAUUAAAAUUCAAAACAACCCCCGACAUAAGGAGAAAAAUAUAGUCUUACUAUGAGUAGUCAUAAUGAACAUAUACAUAUAAAAUUAGUAGAAAAGUUUAACCAAGAACGUAUAAGAGGCAUAUUAGGAUAAGAAAAUUACGGGACAUCUAAAUGGCUAAAGAGAAAUCACAAGGACAAAGGCAAGAACAAAGACAAUACACAAGUAACUCGGAAGCCAAACAAAAGAGUCGAAGAAAAUUAGGUAGCUUAGUAUAAACGAGUUGAAAUUAGAGCAACAUUAUG
rnacentral:lncRNA from 1 species